UUCGCAAUGCCCGAAAGGGUGACGAAGCGACGCCGCGUGUGGGAAGAAGGCCUUCGGGUUGUAAACCACUGUCGGGAGUUAAGAAAUGCAAGGAUAUUAAUAGUGUCUUUGUUUGACUAAGGCCCCGGAGGAAGCCACGGCUAACUCUGUGCCAGCAGCCGCGGUAAUACAGAGGCGGCAAGCGUUGUUCGGAAUUAUUGGGCGUAAAGAGCACGUAGGCGGCUAUGUAAGUCGGUUGUGAAAGCCUUCCGCUCAACGGAAGAACAGCAUCCGAUACUACAUGGCUUGAGUGUGGGAGGGGAGAGUGGAACUUCUGGUGGAGCGGUGAAAUGCGUAGAUAUCAGAAGGAACGCCGGCGGCGAAAGCGGCUCUCUGGCCCAUAACUGACGCUGAGUGUGCGAAAGCUAGGGGAGCAAACGGGAUUAGAUACCCCGGUAGUCCUAGCCGUAAACGAUGGGCACUAAGUAGAGGGGUUUU
rnacentral:rRNA from 1 species